rnacentral:lncRNA from 1 species
GUGCAUGUUUUAUUUGUUUCAAAAACCAUGAACACUUGGCCACUAACAUGACUAAUCAUGCUAAUUAAGAUUUUUAUUUAAUUCUAAUUCAGACUUUAAUAAUUUAAGUACAGCAAGCAGUCAUUUGACUCUAAACAAUUGACACGGACUGCACGAGACCCUCAUAGUUGGUUAAGAUCUUUUUACACACCCUGGACAUGCUGGCGGUAGUUAACAAUUGCAAUGCCAACAUAAACUUCAGAUGUGAUAUACAUGUACUGUUUUGUUAAUUUCACUGAAACUAGAAAUUCACAUUAUCCAUAUUGUUAUUAUAUUAAAAUGACUGAUUAUCCACUAAUUAAAAGUAUUCAUGAAUUCAGAUAUGAUGCACUAUUAUUAGUAGUAUUCACUGAAACUAUGCAUUUUCAUUAUUCCAAAUUGCUAUUUCAAAUGAAUAGUUAUCCUGGG